AUCUAUCUUAUUUCACUUUUGUUAUACUUUUGAUAGUGUUUGAUAUUUCACAUUAAUUAAUAUAAAUUUUAUUUAAAAAAAUUUAUGUAUUUUUUAUAAUUUUUUUCUUGCAUAAAAAUUUUUAAAAAUAAAUUUGAUAUAUUUUUUGGAAAACUCUAAUUAGAGAAUAGUAUUAUAUUUUUCAUAAAUUUUAAAUAAUAUAAAAUUAUAUUUGAGAGUAAAAUUAGUAUUAUGAUAUCCUAUAAUUUUUUAGUUUAUAUGAACCAAACAAUGGAAUGGAAAUAACUCAUUCCAAUUUCCAAUCCACAAAUGAGCUAGACGACUUGGGGGAGAGGGCCAAUCUAUACCAUUCCAAUUUAUUUCCAUUCAAUUAUCCAUUCCAUUUCCACCCUUGAGCGAAACAAGCCCUAAGUGAAAUGUCAAUUUUGUUAUCAUAAAUAUGUCCCUCGAAAAGCCACAACAGUAUAAUAUAAGAGGGGCAAAAAUAUCAAGUUAUUUGAUAAAUUAAUUAGAGUUAAGCAUUGAUUUAAUAUAUGGUUAAUUAAAAUUUUCUAACAUUUUCUAACGAAAGGGACAUAUUUGAAAACAUUAGAAUUUUUGUAGGGACAAUAUAUGAAAGUUGAACUUUAUAUGAAUAUAUUUGCAAUUCACUAUAUUUGUAGGAACCUGUAUGAAAUUAACCCUUAUUUUAUCUAUACAAAUCUAUUAAUCCCCAAUGUUUUGU
rnacentral:lncRNA from 1 species